AUGACUCAGCAAUUGAUCACUCAGCUCAUGGGCAGAUAAAGAACAUGGCUAGCUGUGGGAAUUAAUGUGAAUUAUAGGACACACUGAUCAUCAACACUUCAAACACACCUGCAGCCCUAAGUAUUUUUUAGAGCUAUGCCAAAACAAAACAAA
rfam:Canis lupus familiaris chromosome 32, whole genome shotgun sequence.